AUGUGCCAAAUCAUUCAAGGUUUUUGCCUUGGGACUGUUGACAUCUCGCGUCUUAAUUACGUUGUCAUUUCCCUUAUCCCUAAAGUGAAAGGCGCCGAGCUCAUUUCCCAGUUCAGACCUAUUGCCCUUAUUAAUAAUUUUGCCAAGUUUCCAGCGAAGGGUUUUGCCAACCGUCUCACUCCGAUCGCUAAUAGAACCAGUAGUCAAUUUCAGUCUGCCUUCAUCAAGGGUCGUUUUAUUCUAGAUGGGAUCAUUUGCCCUCAUGAGAUUGUGCAUGGCCUUAAGAUUCGUAAUUCCCAAGCGGUGAUUCUUAAGCUGGACUUUGAGAAAGCGUACGACUCGGUUAUUUGGCCUUUUCUUCGAAAGGUGAUGCUUGCCAAAGGCUUUGAUGGAGCCUAUGUUCACAGGGUUAUGCAGUUGGUAUCGGGGGGCCACACUGCAGUUUCUGUUAAUGGUCAGAUCAGUAACUAUUUUGCCAAUGGUCGGGGCCUACGGCAAGGUGAUCCUGCCUCCCCUAUUCUGUUCAAAUUUGUCGCGGAUGCCUUAUCUCGUAUUCUUUCCCGAGCAGCUGCUCAUGCUCACAUCUCCCCAGUAACUUCUCACCUCAUUUCGGAUGGGGUCGCCCACCUCCAAUAUGCGAAUGACACUAUUAUCAUGGUUGAGUUGAAUUAUUCCUGCCUUGCUCACCACAAGUUUAUUCUUCUAUAUUUCGAGGCCUUGUCGGGUCUCAAGAUUAAUUUCUCUAAAAGUGAAGUCGUUGUGACUGCUGUGGAAGACACCGAGGCUCUAUGA
rnacentral:rRNA from 1 species